CCCCUGGUGGUCCAGUGGUUAGGACUUCACGCUUCCAGGCUGAGGGCCUGGGUUCAAUCCCUGGUUGGGGAA
rnacentral:tRNA from 1 species